rfam:Schistosoma margrebowiei strain Zambia genome assembly, scaffold: SMRZ_scaffold0003330
AUGCAAUCGAUGAGUCCCAAAUAUGACGAAACGUGCGUCUUGGAU